GUGAGUACACCUCGAUCUCGAGUUUUCAUGGUCCCCGUUUAUCGUGUCACCGCCUUCAUGCCUUGCAGUUCGAUGACCCUUUUCGUUUUGUUUAGUUUAACUCGCGUUUUGACUGCUUGUACGUGUGAUUGAUGGGAAAUUCAGUAGAACCGGGAACUAGGAACCAAGAAAGCAAGGACAGAUCGGUGAUCUGUCGGAGGAUAUUCUGCUUCCUGCAACUAUAAAAGACAUAACUCUUGUUUAAAGACGGAUUGGACUGAGAUCCUGAUGAAGAAAAGGAAUGAUUUGUUUGAUGAACGAGGGACGUGUGUUUUUUUUUAUAGUUUCCACGUGGAAGAUGAACUUUUAGCGAGUCGAAUACGCGCAAUAUGUCGGGAUCUUCUUUUUCCGUUUAGCCGUGUCUUGAUCUUGCUUUUUUAUUUCUACCUUCUUUUGGUAGGAGGUUUCUUCUUUUGGUAGGAUUUGAAAUGGUGUAUUUCUGAGAAAUAGUUCUUUAGCAUUCUUAAUUUAAAGUCCUCUCAUCCUUAAUGACCAUGGUUGAGAGGAUCUCAAGAAUGCUCACAUCGAAUCGAUGGAGUUAGUUAGUCUCUCUGAACGGCUCAUUCAGUUCUUGGAGUUCGGUAACUCCUACAUCGUCCUCGUGUGUCCCGAUCACGGUUUACCCUGAACCUAAUGAUCGCUUCUAUGAAUUUUCUUCGAGUACAGCUUUGAUCCCUUAAAUUUGUUUAAGUAAUUGAGAACCAUUUGGGGGUUUUCCGUCCAACGGAAUCUUCUUGUGCCAAUAAUCGGUCACAGAAGACAUGACUCGAGAGGCCUAGGAAUCAUCUGCAGAUGCUGGAACUUUGAUGAUUUGCGCAAUGACCCUUUUAAAUUCUCUUCGUGUCGCGAUUAACCCCGUUCGUUGCAAUGACCCUUUUAAAUUCUCUUCGUGUCGCAAUUAACCCCGUUCGUUGCUUCUUGCAGAUUGCUAUGAGCAGAGAAUUGGAGGGUCCAUGUGCCAAGGGAGCGUGUGAUUUGGAAGAUGGAUUCACAGUCGGAGCAAGUCCACUGACG
rnacentral:lncRNA from 1 species